rnacentral:tRNA from 2 species
CGGGGUGUAGCGCAGUCUGGUAGCGCAUCUGCUUUGGGAGCAGAGGGUCGUGAGUUCGAAUCCCACCACCCCGA